rnacentral:misc_RNA from 1 species
GAUGAAGAACGUAGUGAAAUGCGAUACGUAAUGUGAAUUGCAGAUUUCAGUGAAUCAUCGAAUCUUUGAACGCACAUUGCGCCCGCCAGUAUUCUGGCGGGCAUGCCUGUUCGAGCGUCAUUUCAACCAUCAAGCCUUCGCUUGUGUUGGGGCCCCGCGGCUGCCGCGGUCCCCUAAAUCCAGUGGCGGGCUCGUCGUCGUACCGAGCGCAGUAGACAUCCUCGCUCCGGGAUCCCGACGGGUGCCGGCCGUGAAACCCCCCACAUCAAGGUUGACCUCGGAUCAGGUAGGAAUACCCGCUGAACUUAAGCAUAUCAAUAAGCGGAGGA